GAUGAACGCUAGCGGCAGGCCUAAUACAUGCAAGUCAAGGGGCUCAGCAAUGGGCACCGGCGGACGGGUGCGUAACGCGUACACAACAUACCUUUAAGUGGGGGAUAGCAUUGGGAAACUGGUGGUAAUACCCCAUAAUAAUAUUGGGAGGCAUUGCUUGAUAUUUAAAGCUCCGGCGCUUAGAGAUUGGUGUGCGUCCGAUUAGCUAGUUGGUAGGGUAACGGCCUACCAAGGCGACGAUCGGUAGGGGGUGUGAGAGCAUGGCCCCCCACACGGGUACUGAGACACGGACCCGACUCCUACGGGAGGCAGCAGUAAGGAAUAUUGGACAAUGGAGGGAACUCUGAUCCAGCCAUGCCGCGUGAAGGAUGAAGGCGCUCAGCGUUGUAAACUUCUUUUGGAUGGGAACAAUAACUUCUACGUGUAGGAGCUUGAGGGUACCAUCAGAAUAAGCACCGGCUAACUCCGUGCCAGCCGCCGCAGUAAGAC
rnacentral:rRNA from 1 species